rnacentral:rRNA from 1 species
UACGAAGGGGGCUAGUGUUGCUCGGAAUCACUGGGCGUAAAGGGUGCGUAGGCGGGUCUUUAAGUCAUGGGUGAAAUCCUGGAGCUCAACUCCAGAACUGCCUUUGAUACUGAAGAUCUUGAGUUCGGGAGAGGUGAGUGGAACUGCGAGUGUAGAGGUGAAAUUCGUAGAUAUUCGCAAGAACACCAGUGGCGAAGGCGGCUCACUGGCCCGAUACUGACGCUGAGGCACGAAAGCGUGGGGAGCAAACAGG